rnacentral:rRNA from 1 species
UAGGGAAUCUUCCACAAUGGACGCAAGUCUGAUGGAGCAACGCCGCGUGAGUGAAGAAGGUUUUCGGAUCGUAAAGCUCUGUUGUUGGUGAAGAAGGAUAAAGGUAGUAACUGGCCUUUAUUUGACGGUAAUCAACCAGAAAGUCACGGCUAACUACGUGCCAGCAGCCGCGGUAAUACGUAGGUGGCAAGCGUUGUCCGGAUUUAUUGGGCGUAAAGCGAGCGCAGGCGGAAGAAUAAGUCUGAUGUGAAAGCCCUCGGCUUAACCGAGGAACUGCAUCGGAAACUGUUUUUCUUGAGUGCAGAAGAGGAGAGUGGAACUCCAUGUGUAGCGGUGGAAUGCGUAGAUAUAUGGAAGAACACCAGUGGCGAAGGCGACUCUCUGGUCUGCAACUGACGCUGAGGCUCGAAAGCAUGGGUAGCGAACAGGAUUAGAUACCCUUGGUAGUCCAUGCCGUAAACGAUGAGUGCUAAGUGUUGGGAGGUUUCCGCCUCUCAGUGCUGCAGCUAACGCAUUAAGCACUCCGCCUGGGGAGUACGACCGCAAGGUUGAAAC